GGAAGGACCAUAGCUCAGUGGUUAGAGGGUCUGCCUCACAUGCAGGUUCAGGUCCAGGUCCAGGUUCAAUUCCCAGUGCCUCCA